rnacentral:rRNA from 1 species
AUGUCUAUGUUCUUGUUUAACAAAACUCUACUGAAAAAACUGGAUAAACCUUGUGGACGCCUUUUUUGGGAAGGAAGUGGGUGUAAACGCAAAUACCACCUUGUUAAGUGGAAAAUCCUUUGUCGUUCCAAGAAAAAGGGAGGUUUGGGAAUCCUAGAUUUGAAAAAGCAGAAUAUUAGUUUAAUGACAAACUGGUGGUGGAAGGUAGAGACCCAAAAGGGGCUGUGGCAGGAUACUAUUAAAGCCAAAUAUUUUCGGAAUCAUACUGUGGCUUCGGUCAAAGCCCGUUUAAUGAUUCUCCCCUGCUGGAAACACAUUUUGGAUGUAAAAGAUGUUUACUUUGCUGGAAGGGAGUUGACGGUGAUUUGGUUAGGCUGUGGUUAG